AGGACUCGAACUGAUGCCCAUAUGUGAUUCCUAAGCUUGCAAGGUGAAGAUUUAGCCAACUGAGCCAUUGACUAGAUCUGGGAGUGCAUUUCUGACCACAGAGACAGGGAUGCUGCUGGACUGCUGCAGGUGCAAACGGAUGUUGGGCCAGGAAGGUGUGGAGGGCUUGGCCGUUGAAGGCCUCUCAUGCGGUUAAUAUGAUUCCAGAGGUGGCACAGCAGCUGUGCCUGAUCCUGGCUGUGGAUGGCUUAUGAGGGGUGCUGCCCCCCAUGGUCCUGCCUGAGCUCUUGCCUGUCCCCCCAGGCUUGCUGCCUAUGCUCAAGCUUGCUCUGGGGCUGAAGGCAGUGACUUUGGCCACGUUCCUGCUGGCUCUCGCUGACCCCAGGUCCAGCAGCACUGUGGACACCUCAGGUUGGGUGGGACAAGGGACAAGAGUGAGGGGUGACCACAGAGCAGGUCCUCAGAGUGAGACAGAAAUCACACCUCUCUGCCUCCAGAAGCCCCUAGGUUCCCAUGGCCCGCCAGACCCACAUGCCUUUCAGCCUACCCGGGGAAAUGACCUGUAUGGCACUGGAUUCUCCCUCAAUGUACCUCCCUUUACCCUCUCAACCCCUUCCUCAAUGCCUUCCUUUAUUCAUACAUUCUUUUUGUCUUUCCAGAUCCAAAUCAGACUCUUCUUCCAAAAGGUUCCCUGGGCCUCUCUGAGUUCACUCAGUGACCACCUGUGUUUCUCCACUUACCUCCCUCUCUCUCCACUUCCUGCUCCUUCCUAGCUCCUCCUUCUCUCCUGCCCCCUGCCUGUGACUGGCUUGGUGGGUGUAAUGGGUAAAAGGCAGGCUUGGCAAUUGUCAUUGAGAUCUUAAACAACAGAGCCUGGCGCCGUGGCCUAGCGGCUAAAGUCCUCGAUUUGUCUGGGUGUCUUCCCUUAAACAGAAAACAACUUGGGUUGAGCCAAAGAGGACAUGAAUUUAGCCCAAGAACUGAGUAAAUCACAAAGUACCAGUCAUGAAAAGGGCUGACGUGGAGGCUGAGCAAUGCCACCCCCAUCGCCCUGAGACACCCAGGGCUUAAUCUCUGCAACCCAUGACCUUAGAUGACAAAGGAAGAACUUUCCAGAUAUGUUGACUUAAGAAUCUCAAAAAAAGCAUGCUGAUUACUUGAUUAAGGGCCCUAAAACGGAGUGGCCAUUGAAUGUAAUCACAAGGAUCCUUGAGAUAGAGAGAGAUGUGUCAAGCUUUGAUGCCUGGCCCUGUGGCCACCUUGACCUCUGACCUCUGGCCUCCAGAACUGGGAGGGAAAACACCGCUGCUGUAAAACCACUAAGCUCAUAUCUUUUGUUGCAGGAGCUGCAAGAAGCCAAUAGAGCAUGGGAGCAGGGAGCCAGUCCCCUACGCUCCCCGGAGUUCCUUAGCUGCCCCAGGAUGUCUCUUACCUCAUCUCCCCUUAAAUCUACCCUGCUCUGGCAGCCCAACCUCCCCCUGAUCUUGGGCUCGCUAAUUUAUUCAAGUCUGUGUGUAGUAUUUUCCUUCAGUGGCCUGUCUAGAAUAUUCUGUGUGUAACAGCACUUCAAGCACUCUUGGUUCCCCUAUACCAUUUCUGAUUUCUUCACAGAACCUUAGAAAAGUGUAUAUGCAGGGUGCUGCACAAUGACCUGGUGGCUACAUCUUCACACACAGUGAUGACUGGAAUGGAUG